GUGCUCGCUUCGGCAGCACAUAUGCUAAAAUUGGACUGAUACAGAGAAGAUUAGCAUGGCCCCUGUGCAAGGAUAACAUGCAAAUUCGUAAAGCGUUCCAUAUUUAA